rnacentral:piRNA from 1 species
UAACUAACAGCUGUGCCUCCACUUCCCC